UACGGGGGGAGCAAGCGUUGUUCGGAUUUACUGGGCGUAAAGGGCGCGUAGGCGGCCACCGCAAGUCGGUUGUGAAAUCUCUGGGCUUAACCCAGAAAGGUCAACCGAUUCUGCGGGGCUAGAGUGCAGAAGGGGCAACUGGAAUUCUCGGUGUAGCGGUGAAAUGCGUAGAUAUCGAGAGGAACACCUGCGGCGAAGGCGGGUUGCUGGGCUGACACUGACGCUGAAGCGCGAAAGCUAGGGGAGCGAACGGG
rnacentral:rRNA from 1 species